CACAAAGCGAGAGCAUGACAGAUACUCCCAGAAUACCCAGCCUUUAAAUAUGCAGGAGCUGUACGCACGCAGAAGCAAGUAAGGAAACUGGUAGCAAUCACGAAACCACCAAAACAUCAAAACAGAAGGGAGUGCGUCUGUGAACAUGCAGGCUGCUGAAAUCCCCAGGCUGACUGCGAGGCAGAGCUGAGUUCAGUGGAUAAGAGGAGGCAGUGAUGCCUGCUGGCUGCAUGCAGCUCCUCGAUGCUGGUUCUUUAUAUCUUGCAAGAGAUUCACUUUGUUUGAUCAUUCACUGCUGGGGAAAACAGAAUUUAGCAAAUGUUUUUCAGGUCCCAGAGAACAGAACCAGGGGCCACGGGUGGAAGCUGAAGAAGGGCAUAUUCAGAACCCUUUCUGUUUCACAGAAAGGGUGGUGAACCAUUGGAACAGGCUGCCGUUCCAAUGAGUUGUUGAAGCAGAGACUAUCAGAUCCUUCAAGAAUAGACUGGAUGCGGUCCGUUUAGCCACAGAUUCCCAGAGGUUUCAUUUUCCCCUACUAACUUGGUUUGGUUUUAUUUAUUUUUUUCCUCUCCUGAGUGCUAACAGACCACGCUGGCAUACUCGUUCUAGAACUUCUUAUGUUAUUGUGUUCUAUGCGGCUUCCUUUGAAACAUCAGCAAACUUCAAAUUGAAAUCCUGGAAGAUGUUUUUACUUGUCUGUUCCAAUUAUUUUUUCUUCUAUGUUGUAUUCUGUCAUCUGUCUAUUCUGCUGUCAUCAUCUCAAACAUGAGAUAGCUUAAUCACAAACAGGUCUAUCUGUGGGCAAAUGUUCAAAUAGAUAGAAAAAUGAUACAUACCAAUCCAAACAAGCUACUUAUAUACUUUGCAAGAAAGGGGCAUCUAUAUAUCAUAACUCCUACACUAGCUGUGUGAGAGAAAGAAAGAAAGAAAGAAAGAAAGAAAGAAAGAAAGAAAAAAGCAGAGGAACAGCAGAAUUCUGCAAUAAAAAAACAAUUUUAGCUUGGAUAAUAGCAGGGGUAAGAGUAUUUUUUUUUGUGAAACAGAAUAAGCUGCCAGUAUUAUCUCAAAUUUAAUUACUGCUUUAUCGCCCACACUAACCACUUUAAGGCAAAAUCAGGUAUUUAUCAAGAAUAAUUAAAUACCCAUAAAAGUCAGGGCCUUUACACUACAGUAGCUGGUUAACCUUUAUAUUGUUGUCAGUGAGUGUUCAUUUUUAGGCGGAUGGGGAAAAAAUGAAAAAAAUAUGCCCAGAGGGUGAACUUGAAAAAUGAUUAGUCUUUUCAAGCAAAUAUUCUGAAGUGUAAGCGGCUUUAUCGUCUAUAGAAAAGGGAACUUUAAAGAUGCUGAGAUAUAAAAAUAUAAUUAGAGAGUUACUAAUUGCACAGGCAUAUUAAAAGGACCCCAGAAAGUGACCUCCUUUAAUAGGGGGAAUGUGUGUGUGGAAAAAUAUGUCUUAAUCUUCCCACAAUGCUUAGAUAAAUGUCAAGCGUAUCUAUCACCUCAAUUAACCACAGAGAAAAAAGCUGUCAGGAUCUAAUUCUCUUUGUGACAAGGUGUUUAUACUGCAAUCGGCAGAGGAGGAAGCAGGCAUCUGCUUAGGAAGAGCUGUGAGUCAAAGGUACUGAGACACAUGCUUUGGAUUCCACAUGCAAACUGCUGAUUAGCACCAUGGUGAAUACACAGUGCCUCUGCAGCCUGCACUGAAUACCAGGGUUAUAUAACAGGGAUACUGUACCACACCAUGAUGAAAGAGUAACAUUCGGAAUUCAGCAAGCAAGUUCACUGCUCGGAUCACGAGUGUUGUAAAGUUACUUUUCCAGCUUUCAUUGUUAGGCAUGUAAAGCAUCUCCCAUAGUGUAUCUGUACCUCUAUGAGGAGCGAUGUCUUUAUAUGACAAUACGCUACAUUGAGGUUUUAAAAUCCAUUUGCUUAUCAAGGUUUUUAUCAGACAAUUUCGUCUUCCCGUGACUCGGGUGCUUUUCGGGUGGGGUUCUGGGUUCCAUAGAUCCUACUAUAAAAUCCUACUACAGUAUUUCAAUUGUAAUCAUUGUUACAAUAGUCUGUAUCUUGUUCAAUAAUAAUGUAUUCAUACAUUUUACAUAAUAUACUAGCGGUGUCUAUAAACUAUUUCUAAUUAACAUCUUAUGAGAGAAAGAGAUUGGAUCCGAGGGUUGUGUGACACCAUAUGAAAAUCAAACUGCUCAAACUGUGCCAGGAUAAACUGCUCUUAAUAUUUGUUUAUUUUGAUUUUAUUUUUUAUUUUUUUAUGUAAGUCUGGUAGCUGAAUAAGUGCACUGUAUAGAAGCAGCUGUAAUAAUUUAUACAAAAUGAUUGUAUUCAUAUAUCAUACAUGGUAGUUUUGGUAUUGGGACAUGAAGUGUACUACUCCAAACAGCUGUGUGUGAUUUAUAAUUAGGGCUUCUGAUUGUCAGUGUUUUCCAGGGUUUUUCCAUGAAACAGCUAAAUGGGCUUUUAAAUCGUAAAUCUUACUUUUUCAUUUCAAAGCAGAAGUGACUUCUCUUUAUUCAUAUAAAUACAGUCACGCAGAACAAUUGCAAUAAAGUGUGUCCAGCAAAAAUACUGUAUUUUUCAUUCUAGCUUUAAUAAAGAUGAGUCGCUUAUUAACAUGUUGCAAUCUAGUUUGUACAGUUCUGCUUGUUCAUCAACAAUUCAGAUUUGGCCAAUUUAAAAGCUAAUUUCGUUGUAUCACAGAAAAAACAUAAAUUAAAUACAUUUUCCUAUUAACAUGUUUCUCUGUUGUGAUUGAGAUACAUGAAUGGCUUAACAGGGAGAGAGAGUAGAAAAGUUGUCGGAAGACACUGAAAAUCGGAAGCCCUGUUUAUAAUUCAAAUCUCAGCAUCCAUAUAAAUAAAGAGAGAAAUAAAAAAGUGGAUUGUAAGUUUGUUUCACUAGCCCUGCUAUCAACUGUUAAAUCAGAUGCUGUUUGGGUUUUAAAAUGUACAUUUUCAAUGUGUUUCCUUUGCCCUGUACUGUGCAUGUGGGUAAGUUAGUUUACUUCUUAACAGUGGGAUUGUUUCUUAUAAAAGGCUCCUUCCACCAUCUAUAUGUUCAACCAUUCCACCUUUCACAAGAUGCUGCAACUAAAGAGAAGUCAAAGAGGGUAAAGCAAGCAAUAUGUUAUCACUGCUGCCCCAUUUGUUCUGCUUAGGAUCUAUUGGUUAUCCUUGUAUUGCAUACUUCAGAGUCUUUCAUUUCUCAGUUUUACUGCAAAGUUCCAGCUGCACUCACACCAUGUGACCUUCUGAACACCAAGUGAUUAGAUGACAAGUUGAAUUCUCUUUUUUUUUUUAUCUACAGCUGUGUAUCCUGAAUUAGUAUACAAAACAAGCAAAGCCACACAGGUCUUGUUAAAAUGAGGUCCUGUAUAAAAGGUUACCAUAAUAAAAGCGUAACCAUGCAAAAACUGCAAGAAUACGGUGCAAAAAUAUCAUGGUAAAGGUUUAUAAGGGGUUGGGUGAAUGCUUCAAAUGGCAAUUGGAGAUAAGCAAAUGGAUUUUAAAACCUUGUGUUUGUCUGGAGCUGAGACAGAACUAGGAAGCUAAAGAGCUUAGAUAGAAUGGGUCUCCAUAGGAUUUGAUAAGACUGCAGUCCGGCUCUGCGAGUGUGGCAGCUGCAAGCCUUAUGGGAAGCACCACAGCAAUCUUGUGCGGUAAACUUCCAAUUCAACUUAAUUUCCUGCAAAAAGAGGCAGACUGGCGUUAUCUGAUAGAUAGGGUUCUGCCUUGAAAGAUGAAGUAUCCGUUAUACUUUGUGUUUGUCUUUCUGUGCAUAGCUGCCAGGAGAAUAAUUGCUGGGUGAUACAAUCAUGAUUAAGAAUUAAGCUUUUUUUUACAUAAGUGUGCAGACUGCAGAUCAUUUCAAAUGUUGACUGUGCAUUGGGCUAUCAGAUGCACAUUAUAGAAAAGGAGAAAAGACUACAUCUGGUUUACAGAUUAAGGCUAAAAAAAUAUGCAGUAUGAGAUUCAAGCAAUACAUCUGAGAAAAGGUGGAACUCACAAAACAAAGGUGAGCAAAACAAGUUAACCCUUCUACCUAUCAUUGUUUACUUCAAUGUAGUAAUAACCUAUUAACAGCAAUAGUCACCUAUGCAACAGCAACACAAAUGCAACCCACACCAUGUAAAUAUGCCUGAAACUAUUCUGUUAAAUGUGUAAAAGCCUUGCAGUUAUACUACAGUCCCAGAAUUAAACUUGGUUCACAAUUGAAUUAGAUACCAUUUAUGUGUCAUGAUUCAGUUCCAACACACCCAAUGUUGUGUUCUCCAGUUCUCUUGUGUUUUAGUACAGUGACAGACUCGGGGUGGUUAUUGUGCCAUGUUCACAUGAAAAUGAACACAGUGUCUAUAUUUAUCAACACAUAUGUUUUUUGUUUCUUUUCU